rnacentral:rRNA from 1 species
AAAAAAGGUAAGCUACUAAGAGCGAAUGGUGGAUGCCUUGACUGGUAAAGGCGAUGAAGGACGUACUAGACUGCGAUAAGCUACGGGGAGCUGUCAAGAAGCUUUGAUCCGUAGAUUUCCGAAUGGGGCAACCCAAUGUAUAGAGAUAUACAUUACCUAUAUAGGAGCGAACGAGGGGAAUUGAAACAUCUUAGUACCCUCAGGAAAAGAAAUCAAUAGAGAUUGCGUCAGUAGCGGCGAGCGAAAGCGCAAGAGGGCAAACCCAGUGCUUGCACUGGGGGUUGUAGGACUGCAAUGUGCAAGAGCUGAGUUUAGCAGAACAUUCUGGAAAGUAUAGCCAUAGAGGGUGAUAGUCCCGUAUGCGAAAAACAAAGCUUAGCUAGCAGUAUCCUGAGUAGGGCGGGACACGAGGAAUCCUGUCUGAAUCCGGGUCGACCACGAUCCAACCCUAAAUACUAAUACCAGAUCGAUAGUGCACAAGUACCGUGAGGGAAAGGUGAAAAGAACUGAGGUGAUCAGAGUGAAAUAGAACCUGAAACCAUUUGCUUACAAUCAUUCAGAGCACUAUGUAGCAAUACAGUGUGAUGGACUGCCUUUUGCAUAAUGAGCCUGCGAGUUGUGGUGUCUGGCAAGGUUAAGCAAACGCGAAGCCGUAGCGAAAGCGAGUCUGAAUAGGGCGCUUAGUCAGAUGCUGCAGACCCGAAACGAAGUGAUCUAUCCAUGAGCAAGUUGAAGCUAGUGUAAGAACUAGUGGAGGACUGAACCCAUAGGCGUUGAAAAGCCCCGGGAUGACUUGUGGAUAGGGGUGAAAGGCCAAUCAAACUUCGUGAUAGCUGGUUCUCUCCGAAAUAUAUUUAGGUAUAGCGUUGUGUCGUAAUAUAAGGGGGUAGAGCACUGAAUGGGCUAGGGCAUACACCAAUGUACCAAACCCUAUCAAACUCCGAAUACCUUAUAUGUAAUCACAGCAGUCAGGCGGCGAGUGAUAAAAUCCGUCGUCAAGAGGGAAACAACCCAGACUACCAGCUAAGGUCCCUAAAUCUUACUUAAGUGGAAAACGAUGUGAAGUUACUUAAACAACCAGGAGGUUGGCUUAGAAGCAGCCAUCCUUUAAAGAAAGCGUAAUAGCUCACUGGUCUAGUGAUUUUGCGCGGAAAAUAUAACGGGGCUAAAGUAAGUACCGAAGCUGUAGACUUGCGCACAACUUAGAUUAUUUAAGUUUAGAAUAUGAGAAACUAAGUUAUGUUUAGUUAUAUUUUUACUGAUUUUUAUAGAGUAAAGAUAGAAAUAAAACUUAGUAAAAUCAGUAAAAAUAUUCUUAGGCUAAAGUUAAGUAGUUUAAGUUGUGUGCAAGUGGUAGGAGAGCGUUCUAUUUGCGUCGAAGGUAUACCGGUAAGGAGUGCUGGAGCGAAUAGAAGUGAGCAUGCAGGCAUGAGUAGCGAUAAUUAAUGUGAGAAUCAUUAACGCCGUAAACCCAAGGUUUCCUACGCGAUGCUCGUCAUCGUAGGGUUAGUCGGGUCCUAAGUCGAGUCCGAAAGGGGUAGACGAUGGCAAAUUGGUUAAUAUUCCAAUACCAACAUUAGUGUGCGAUGGAAGGACGCUUAGGGCUAAGGGGGCUAGCGGAUGGAAGUGCUAGUCUAAGGUCGUAGGAGGUUAUACAGGCAAAUCCGUAUAACAAUACUCCGAGAACUGAAAGGCUUUUUGAAGUCUUCGGAUGGAUAGAAGAACCCCUGAUGCCGUCGAGCCAAGAAAAGU